AAAUGUCUAUUCCUUUAACCUGUUUUCUUCAUUCCAGAGACCAAAGCACUUUGGAAGGCCAAGGCAGGUGGAUCACAAGUCAGGAGUUCGAGACUAGCCUGGCCAAGAUAGUGAAACCUUGACUCUACUAAAAAUACAAAAAUCAGCUGGGUUCAGUGGAAAGCACCUGCAAUCCAGCUUCUCAGGAGGCUGUGGCAGGAGAAUUGCUUGAAUCCAGGAGGCGGAGGUUGCAAUGAGCUGAGAUCAUGCCACUGCACUCUAGCCUGGGCAACAGAGCAAGACUGUCUCAAAAAAAAAAAAAAAAAAAAGUAAAAGAAAAGAAACAAGAAAGCUCUACCAAGUUUGUCCAUUUACAACAUUACAUUAUACUGUGAGUGGUUGCCACAACCAGGUGCCUCUCUUAUUUCCCGCAGAGGCAAACCCUAAUCCAGUGUCCUGAAGAGCUCUACUUGCAGUGAGAAAUCUGCCCAUACCUCUAAGAAUCUUAGCAUCUCUGCUGUAUAUGGCCUUUCAGAGACCAGUGGGACCAAAAAAGAGAAGAACUUUUAGAGCAUGCAAUCUGGAGUGAAUUUUUGAAUUACUGAUAUUUCAGACUGAUUUUAAAAGGGAGAAUUUAAAAGAAGAAACAGUAUUUUAAAAAAUGGUUAGAAAACAAUGCAGAAAUGAAAAAAGCAGGAGACUUCUCAAUAUAGGAUUACAUGGAGGCCCACAUCAGAAUGAAGAUUCUGUAAAUCAAGACUCAAGACUUAGCUGCUUCAGCUUCAGUGGCUUUUAGUGAGAAAUGACAAUUAGAAAAGUCUAGCAAAUCAAACCAACACGUCACCAAGUUAUCUUUAUAGAUUCACUUGAAGGUAUUUUCUGGAGUGCUUGCAUGUAAGCUGGAUCUAAAUUUAUGCUGAACUCUUCAACAUCAAGUUACAUAAUAAAUUGUCAUGUUAAAAAUAAAGAAUACCUUUGUAAGAAUCUUUUAUUUAAAGUAAAU
rnacentral:lncRNA from 1 species